AUGAGCUGGCAAUUACACAUGUGUUUCAAUGUAUUGCCUGCCUUCCCAAUUCAAGGGUUUCCAUCUGUUUCUUCUAAUUUCGAUGCAAGUUUGCAAACCAUUGAUGCCGGUACCAUAGCAUAUUUUAGGCCUGGCUUUGAAGUUGUAGUAGGAGCUGGUGUCAAGCGAAAGAUUGUAUGCAACUUUUGUGCAAGACCUGCAAGGGCAUGGUUGAUUUCAAGUUUUAUAGAAAGUUUUUGUUUAGCAAAAAGUCUAGUUUUGGAUGCAGGGCAACUUUCGAGAAUUGGGGUGGAGUAA